rnacentral:rRNA from 1 species
AUGACGCUGGCGGUAUGCUUACACAUGCAAGUCGAACGGAAACGAUACUAGCUUGCUAGUAGGCGUCGAGUGGCGGACGGGUGAGUAACGCGUAGGAAUCUGCCUGAUAGUGGGGGAUAGCCCGAAGAAAUUCGGAUUAAUACCGCAUAAUCUAUUCGUAGUAAAGUGGGGGACUUUCGAGCCUCACGCUAUCAGAUGAGCCUGCGUAAGAUUAGCUUGUUGGUAGGGUAAAAGCCUACCAAGGCGACGAUCUUUAGCUGGUCUGAGAGGAUGAUCAGCCACAUCGGGACUGAGACACGGCCCGAACUCCUACGGGAGGCAGCAGUGGGGAAUAUUGGACAAUGGGGGCAACCCUGAUCCAGCAAUACCGCGUGUGUGAAGAAGGCCUGAGGGUUGUAAAGCACUUUCAAUUGUGAAGAAAAGUUAGCGGUUAAUAACCGCUAGCCUUGACGUUAACUUUAGAAGAAGCACCGGCUAACUCCGUGCCAGCAGCCGCGGUAAUACGGAGGGUGCAAGCGUUAAUCGGAAUUACUGGGCGUAAAGCGUGCGUAGGCGGUUUAUUAAGUCAGAUGUGAAAGCCCCGGGCUUAACCUGGGAACUGCAUUUGAAACUGGUCAACUAGAGUAUGGUAGAGGAAAGUGGAAUUUCUGGUGUAGCGGUGAAAUGCGUAGAUAUCAGAAGGAACAUCAAUGGCGAAGGCAGCUUUCUGGACCAAUACUGACGCUGAGGUACGAAAGCGUGGGUAGCAAACAGGAUUAGAUACCCUGGUAGUCCACGCCGUAAACGAUGAUAACUAGCCGUUGGGGGGGAUUUACCCUUUAGUGGCGAAGCUAACGCGUUAAGUUAUCCGCCUGGGGAGUAC